CAGAUCCAGUAUGGUGGCAGGAAGAUCCCAAACCACGAAGAUUUUGUCACUGUCCAAAUAUUUAUGGGCCUAACUUUCAUCCUGGUCAGAGUCAUGGAUGCAGGACAGGAAUCACCAGUUCAUUGCAAGUGUUUUAUCAUUGCUGGUGGGAGUGAGCGCUCGUGCUAAAUCCAGCAGAGGGCUGUGCAGCAGAGAAUGAGAGUGAAAAGUGAGAGAGAGAGAGAGAGAGAGAGAGAGAGAGAGAGAGAGAGAGAGA